UGGAGGUUUUUAAAAACUUCCAUAAAAUAAUUUAUUUGUGGCAAUUUAUCAAACUCCCAAUCAUGAUUAUGGACAAACUCCCACUUUUUAUGCAUAGUUAAAACUCCCAUCCAAACAAAACGAACCCACCAAAAAAAAAAGAAUGGUGAAACACUCCAAAACCCUAAACAGAACAUUUUCGAUUCCAAUGGAGGAGACACAGCGAUGCCGCAUCUCCAACUCAUUCCGCCACCGCCGACUUACCCGCAUCUGAGCCUACAUCAACGCGCCACCGUGCCAGAGCUCUGAAGCCCAAGGCCAGCUCCCUCUCACUAUGGCACGUCAUAUCCGCGCGGCGUCGCUACUGCGUCGUCUUUCCCAGCAGGUUUUGCCACUUGUUCUGCUUUUGCUCCGGCGGAUGUGAAGCACUCGGAGCAUGGUUUGGGCGUAGACUCAGUGCCGAUGGCUGAGGAGAUCUGAGAGAAGAGCGAAACCGAGAGAUUCAGAGAGGAGAGACAGCUCGCAUUGCCAUCGCCACUGCCGUCGCCAUUGCGGUUUAUCGCCUCUCCAGAUCUGGUUGCAACGCCCAAGCCUCUGAGGAUGUUCCGUUACGACCUCUUCGACGAGACGCAGAACAAGCUCGAUUACAUCCUCUCUCUCACCGUCGAGAACUUGCUCGGGCGCCGCCUCCAUACUCUCGUCUUCAAGUCUGGUAUAGCCAAGUCCAUUCACCAGCGCUACAUUAGAAUCUAACUUCCUAAACAUUCAAAUAGCUCAAAAUUAAAGCCACAGAGGAGGUUGAUUAAGCUGGAGGCUUUGGAGAAAGUCAUCCAUGAAAGAAUAGAUGCUCCCAGAGCACCUAGGCAGUGGUGGUUUGGCAAGGGGACUGACUUGACUCCUUCUUACAUUUUCGAGGAUGAUGUUAAACACUUCCAUUCGGUUAAACUUAAAGAACUUGAAGCUGGUCUGCUUGAGAAUAAGGCAAAUAAUUAGAAGUUGCAACACACCUACAACGAGCUGGUAGAAUAUAAGCUUGUUUUGGAGAAGAUUGUAAGUAUAGAUGGAAACAUUAUGCUUAGGCUCAACAGAGCAAUGGGUUGCUUCUUCGCGUGUUUCAGGAACAACGAUAACCAUUGUUGCCGCAUCACCUGACCGCCAACUCUUCUAGUUCCACCGAUGUUCUGGUAUCUCGAAACAGCUAUUCCUCUGUGUUUCGAGCUCAAGGCCAAGUUUCUUAAAGCCUGUGGUACUUUACCAGGGACACCUGUUGAAAUUCGGAAAACAUUUGAGAAACUGAAAGUGUCACCCUCUCCCAAUAAACAUUCUGAGCCAUCAAAGUUUCAUUCUUGGCUUCCGAAUGAGUCUGUUGAGAAACUUCAACUGGAUUUUCAUUCAGUUAACCCCCAAACACCCUUGAAAAAUUUUCAAGAAUUGGGAGAUAGUACAGACUCUUUUGAGCACACACCAGACAGGCAUAUACGAGCGAGUUGCAACUUAAAGUGGAUCACUUGCUGGAAAAGAAUGCAAGACUCAAGAGACAGCAACAAAAGGCAUGCAUCUUCAUUUAUAUACAUAAAUACACACAUUUUAGUUACUAGUGAUUUUGUUUGUUUAUGUUUAUGUUUCAAUAUUUCAUCAAGUGAACCUUAUCUUCAUUUCGUUCUUGCAAAAUGGGAUCUGGUUUAACUUUGUGCGUUUGUAUAGUGUGUUUCUAGUUUCUUAUCAUUGUACUACUUUAUCAUGGAACAAUCUAACAACUUGUAGCUUUGUGGCUUUCUGCUACUAUUCUCAGUGCAAAACAGCUGAAGAAAUGUUUAAUAACUCUAGAACUUAGAUGGUUUGUACAUUAUAGCUGUAAUUUGUAUAGUGUGUUUCUGGGAUUUGACUCUCAUGUGGCAUUUGUAUAGUGUGUUUCUAGUUUCUUAACUUUAUUUGCGGUUGAAGAUAUGCUCUUCUGUCUAUUGAUGGUUA